rnacentral:sRNA from 1 species
ACUGCCGGAUCGGGGCCAUUUACCGGUUCGGUGGCGCGAGGAGGGCCUCACCGGCCUUCGAGCGCUUCGCGCGGCGCCUCUCCCCGAGGUCGCGCGACGUCCUCCCCCGCGCAUCGUCACCUGCGACGGUGCGCGGAUUUUUUU